AACGGUGUGGAUGUCUAUGGAGGAGGAGCGAGAGGGAAGAGAGCGAGAGUGAUGAUGGAGCCUUUGGAUAAAGCCGCUGCGCAGAGACAGAGGAGGAUGAUCAAGAACCGUGAGUCUGCUGCUAGGUCUAGAGAGAGGAAGCACGCUUACCAAGUUGAGUUGGAGACUUUAGCUGCCAAGCUUGAGGAGGAGAAUGAGAAGCUUUCUGUGGAGAUUGAAGAGAAGAGGAAAGAGAGGUACCAGAAGCUGAUGGAGUUUGUGAUCCCCGUGGUUGAGAGACCUAAGCAGGAACCUCG
rnacentral:lncRNA from 1 species